UGUGAGGAUCCAUUGAUUCGUUAUUUUGAAAGCCUAUUUGUUUCACAAGUCGAAGAAACAUUCCCUGGUAUAUCCACAACUGACGUAGACAAAAGGAAAGAUCAACACUUUAUAAAAUGGUUGAAGAGUCAGGUUGAUUUUGACGACGAUGCAGAUUAUCCUAAG